CUAUAUUGGGAGCAGCUGAUCUUCCUGGACAGGGAGGAGCAUGUUCACCUGAGCAGAGGCCUGGAACCGGAAAGAGGAAUCGCCCAGGACCCCAGCCAGAGGAGAAACUGGAAGAAGUGAACCUGAGCAGCCUGGACAUCCUUGUAAGCAGAGAUGAACAGUCCACCGCUUUCUGUCUUCUCCAUGACUGUCUCUGCGCUUGCAGAGGAAUUGGCCAGGAGCCCCAGCCACAGGAGAAGCUGAUACAAGUGGACCUGAGCAACCUGGACAUCCUUCUAAGCAGAUAUGAACAGUCCUCAGGUUUCCGCCUCCCAGAUAAUUGGCUCUGAGUAAGAGAACGGAGGAGAGCUUGCGGCAGAAGGCGGGUCCAGGUGGAUGCAGAGGACGCGGGCUUUGACUUGGCUGAAACGGAGGAGAGCUUGCGGCAGAAGGCGGGUCCAGGUGGAUGCAGAGGACGCGGGCUUUGACUUGGCUGAGUGCGUGAGUGAGGAGGGCACGGGACAGCUAGUAGGACAAACCCUGAACCCUCUCAAGAGGCUGGUUUCUAGAACUACCUUCCAAAUGGCAGUGUUACCUUGUGAAAGACAGGGAAAGACCCACACCCUAGUUUGAGGGCGCUCACUUUGGACCUUGGCGUGAAGAGGGCCAAUGUAGGGAGGAGAAAAGGGAAAGCGACCUGAACCCUGAUUACAGGGCAGUCACCCUUUUUUUAGUAAAAUAUACCUCCUU